rnacentral:rRNA from 1 species
CACGUAGUUAGCCGAUGCUUCCUCUGCAGGUACAGUCAAAAUUAUUCCCUGCUGACAGUAGUUUACGAUCCGAAGACCUUCAUCCUACACGCGGUGUUGCUGCGUCAGGCUUUCGCCCAUUGCGCAAAAUUCCCUACUGCUGCCUUCCGUAGAAGUGUGGGCCGUGUCUCAGUCCCACUCUGGCUGGUCAUCCUCUCAGACCAACUACUGAUCAUUGCCUUGGUAGGCCAUUACCCUACCAACUAGCUAAUCAGACGCAGGCCGAUCCUUUACCGAAAAAUCUUUAAUAAGAAGCAUUUCAGCUUCUUACUUAUGCGGUAUUAGCACCGGUUUCCCAGUGUUAUCCCCCAGUAAAGGGCACGUUACCUACGUGUUACUCAGCCGUCCGCCACUGAUGUACCCCGAAGGGCCUCAUCGUUCGACUUGCAUGUAUUAAGCACACCGCCAGCGUCGUCCUCGUAGCCACGGAGUCAAACUAC